AAUGAACGCUGGCGGCAUGCCUUACACAUGCAAGUCGAACGGUAACGCGGGGCAACCUGGCGACGAGUGGCGAACGGGUGAGUAAAGCAUCGGAACGUGCCCAGUAGUGGGGGAUAGCUCGGCGGAAGCCGGAUUAAUACCGCAUACGACCGAAGGGUGACAGGGCGGGAACGCCAGACCUCGAGGUAUUGGAGCUGGCGAUGUCAGAUUAGCUAGUUGACGGGGUAAAAGCGCACCAAGGCGACGAUCUGUAGCUGGGCUGAGAGGACGACCAGCCACACUGGGAAUGAGACACGGCCCAGACUCCUACGGGAGGCAGCAGUGGGGAAUUUUGGACAAAGGACGAAAGUCUGAUCCAGCCAUGCCGCGUGCGGGAAGAAGGCCUUCGGGUUGUAAACCGCUUUUGUCAGGGAAGAAAUCCUUUGAGCUAAUACCUCGGGGGGAUGACGGUACCUGAAGAAUAAGCACCGGCUAACUACGUGCCAGCCGCCGCAGUAA
rnacentral:rRNA from 1 species